rnacentral:sRNA from 1 species
AGCCACAAGAAGGGGGCCAAGUUGGCAGGUAGGAAGAGUGGGAGUUUUGCAAAUGGACAACUAAAGAUGGGAAAGAGAAUCAAACUACACUUUUUUCCUUUUUUCUAGCGCUCCAGGGCAGUGUUACCAGUGCCCAUCAGGUGCCUGCCGUCUCUUCUGUGUCACACACAGCCCUGUAUACUCCUCCACCUGAGAUACCUACCACUGUCCUCAACAUUCCCCACCCAUCAGUCAUUUCCUCUCCACUUCUCAAGUCCCUGCACUCUGCUGGACCCCCGCUCCUUGCUGUUACUGCAGCUCCUCCAGCCCAGCCCCUUGCCAAGAAAAAAGGCGUAAAGCGGAAAGCAGAUACUACCACCCCUACACCUACAGCCAUCCUGGCUCCUGGUUCUCCAGCUAGCCCUCCUGGGAGUCUUGAGCCUAAGGCAGCACGGCUUCCCCCUAUGCGUAGAGAGAGUGGUCGCCCCAUCAAGCCCCCACGCAAAGACUUGCCUGACUCUCAGCAACAACACCAGAGCUCUAAGAAAGGAAAGCUUUCAGAACAGUUAAAACAUUGCAAUGGCAUUUUGAAGGAGUUACUCUCUAAGAAGCAUGCUGCCUAUGCUUGGCCUUUCUAUAAACCAGUGGAUGCUUCUGCACUUGGCCUGCAUGACUACCAUGAUAUCAUUAAGCACCCCAUGGACCUCAGCACUGUCAAGGUACCCACUGCAUGGGGCAGAUGGGAUGCUCAGGCAGUGAUGGGAGCCUAGGUGCAAAACAAUAAGUCUCCUUAUGUGGACACACAGCAGUCUUUGGUUCUUGGCAUUUUACUUUUAUAAAAUAAUAGUGGAACAGAAGGUCUGGUGUUUGAGAAUUUGUAUUUCCUGGAGUUUGAAACAGUAGGGUGGGGUUUCUUUGUCUUGAGAACAAUACUGACUGUCUAUAAUUAAGUACUAAUGUUGUGGCAGUGUUGGGUUAAGGAAGUUAUGGGGUGGAAAGACAGUCAUAGGCCACUUCUCUGUCACUUAGAAAUGAUUUCUUUUUCUAGACAUAAAUAUUUCUUCAACCCACCCAAAUUCCUUUGACUUCAAACUUGAACCCCAGGGCACAGAUCCUUAAGGUCAUCCCCACUGUGCUCUCAAGAGAGGGCUCUUCUUGUGGUGUCUGGGGUUGGCAGGGAAAGGUGAGUCUUCCUGCCUGUGCAGCUUCUGAUGCUGCCUCCUUCUGCAGCGGAAGAUGGAGAACCGUGAUUACCGGGAUGCACAGGAGUUUGCUGCUGAUGUACGGCUUAUGUUCUCCAACUGCUAUAAGUACAAUCCCCCAGAUCACGAUGUUGUGGCAAUGGCACGAAAGCUACAGGAUGUAUUUGAGUUCCGUUAUGCCAAGAUGCCAGAUGAACCACUAGAACCAGGGCCUUUACCAGUCUCUACUGCCAUGCCCCCUGGCUUGGCCAAAUCGUCUUCAGAGUCCUCCAGUGAGGAAAGUAGCAGUGAGAGCUCCUCUGAAGAAGAGGAGGAAGAUGAGGAGGACGAGGAGGAAGAAGAAGAGAGUGAAAGCUCAGACUCAGAGGAAGAAAGGGCUCAUCGCUUAGCAGAACUACAGGAACAGCUUCGGGCAGUACAUGAACAACUGGCUGCUCUGUCCCAGGGUCCAAUAUCCAAGCCCAAGAGGAAAAGAGAGAAAAAAGAGAAAAAGAA